rnacentral:tRNA from 1 species
GGAGAGGUGCUCGAGUGGUUGAAGAGGCACGCCUGGAAAGCGUGUAUACCGCAAGGUAUCGAGGGUUCGAAUCCCUUCCUCUCCG